rnacentral:rRNA from 1 species
UACAGAGGUCUCAAGCGUUGUUCGGAUUCAUUGGGCGUAAAGGGUGCGUAGGCGGCGCGGUAAGUCGGGUGUGAAAUCUCGGAGCUUAACUCCGAACUGCAUUCGAUACUGCCGGUGCUUGAGGACUGGAGAGGAGUACGUGGAAUUUACGGUGUAGCGGUGAAAUGCGUAGAUAUCGUAAGGGAAGACCAGUGGCGAAGCGGGUCU